AUCCUUUUGUAGUUCAUAAGGGCAGUGAUUGGGUGUUCACAUGAAUGUGUGAGCCAGGCCUCCCUCGGACUUUGUUACAAUGUCAGCACAUUACCUGUCUGAUG